GAUGAACGCUGACAGAAUGCUUAACACAUGCAAGUCAACUUGAAUUUGGGUUUUUACCUUAGGUUUGGGUGGCGGACGGGUGAGUAACGCGUAAAGAACUUGCCUCACAGCUAGGGACAACAUUUGGAAACGAAUGCUAAUACCUAAUAUUAUGAUAAUAGGGCAUCCUAUAAUUAUGAAAGCUAUAAGCGCUGUGAGAGAGCUUUGCGUCCCAUUAGCUAGUUGGAGAGGUAACGGCUCGCCAAGGCGAUGAUGGGUAGCCGGCCUGAGAGGGUGAUCGGCCACAAGGGGACUGAGACACGGCCCUUACUCCUACGGGAGGCAGCAGUGGGGAAUAUUGGACAAUGGACCAAGAGUCUGAUCCAGCAAUUCUGUGUGCACGAUGAAGUUUUUCGGAAUGUAAAGUGCUUUCAGUUGGGAAGAAAGAAAUGACGGUACCAACAGAAGAAGUGACGGCUAAAUACGUG
rnacentral:rRNA from 1 species